rnacentral:rRNA from 1 species
UAUACAGGAAGAAACACCUCUACGUGUAGAGACUUGACGGUACUGUAAGAAUAAGGAUCGGCUAACUCCGUGCCAGCAGCCGCGGUAAUACGGAGGAUCCAAGCGUUAUCCGGAAUCAUUGGGUGGAAAGGGUCCGUAGGCGGUCAGGUAAGUCAGUGGUGGGCCCAUCGCUCAACGGUGGAACGGCCAUUGAUACUGUCUGACUUGAAUUAUUAAAAAGUAACUAGAAUAUGUAGUGUAGCGGUGAAAUGCUUAGAGAUUACAUGGAAUACCAAUUGCGAAGGCAGGUUACUACUAAUUGAUUGACGCCUGAUGGACGAAAGCGUGGGUAGCGAACAGGAUUAGAUACCCUGGUAGUCCACGCCGUAAACGAUGGAUAC